rnacentral:lncRNA from 1 species
CAGAUCCCCAUGUUUGGAUAAUGCAUCAGUGUCAAAUUACUGUAAGUGCUUCUAGGCACCCUCUCUGUUUCUGUACUUGAUUGAUUUUGGAUCAGUAACACAGCACUGGUAUUUUCCAAGAGUCUUUUCUGAAUUGGGGAUGGAUAUUGGAGCAGGGGAAUGUCAGAGUUAAUAAAAACUGGUUAGUGUGUGAGAAUAGAGACCAGUGUUGCCUGAAUGUUUUGGAAUUUUUUAUUUUACAAAUCCGGUUGACAAUUUUUUUUUCUGUUUGCACCGUGACGAUAAAAUAUAGUUAUCUAGAGUGCAAAAGAAAAUUACAGACAUUCUGUGCUCAACUUUUACUUUCUUCUUUCCCAACAGUUAUAGGAAUGCCAGCCAUGAAGUGUCUCCCCAGAUACUGAUCCAAAUGCAAUCUGCACUUGGUUUCUCCUACAGUGUGAUUGUGAGUUUAGCAGGAGCAUAGGUUUACCUUGCAGUGUUAGUAUUCAUUUGGGUAUUAGUACCCAUUGUUGUUUAUGGUUGUAAAUAGGACCAGUCAGCAUAUUUGGUUAUUGUUUUUCUGACAGCAUUCAGCUGUUCACGUGGAUAGUGGGUUUAAGCAGUAUUGAGUUUUGGAGGAGAGUGAGAUAGCCAAGGGAGUUAUGAGUGCAAAACAUGGAAUAUAACUAAGU